UCAGGCUCUCCUCCUACACCAGAUGCUUGAGUGUCUUCACCAUCUCUGGGGCCUGCUCCAGGACCUUCUCCAGUGUGCCCAUGUGCCCUUUGUACUGAGGAGCCCAGAACUGGACACCGCAUCCCCAAAGAGGUCUCAACAUUGACGAAUAGAAGGAUCAGAGGAUUUGAAUAAAGCUUCUAAACCAGCACCCAUGUGAGAUGUUAAAACAAAGAAGAAAGCAGAAAAAUAUUAACAACAAAUGUUACAUUCUCUUUGGAUAACAGGAAAGGCCACAAACAGAACACGUACUCCAAUUCACCAGGUUGUGUUCACAUUCCUGAAAUUAUCCUUCCUUUGGAAAACUUUGAUGCUGCCACGUUGGCUGUGAUACUUCAUUAAUAAACCUCAAACACUUGUCUGCGUGUUGAACAGCUGCUACAAGACCCUACAGCCUUUAUAGGGUGUAUCUAAUCCUUAUGAACACAGGCAGUCUCCUUAAAAAUGCACAGUUGAGGACUCCUUGAAAGAAGAGUUUGGAGGAGCAGCCCCUCCCACUUCUUUAUUAACAGCUCGUCACAUCUGGGUGGCGUCUCUCAUGAUCCACAUUCGCGCACCCUGCGCUCUCCAGGGAGCAGCAGGAGGAGGAAGCACGGCAUCACGGCCGGCCGUGCUGGAGGUUUGGAUCGUUCUGGCGGCGGCAGGAGCUGGGGCUGGAGCAUCCAAACAUCCUCUUCUCCCGCACAGCCGCGGUUUUCCUCCGGGGAGGGUCCGCGAACGCGGAGCACCCGGCUGGGGGCCCGCUCUUGGCCUUGGGUUUCUUUGAUUCUUAAAAAAAAAAAAAAAAAAAAAAAGGACCAAAACACCACCUCUCUUCUCCAA